rnacentral:misc_RNA from 1 species
AAGUCGUAACAAGGUUUCCGUAGGUGAACCUGCGGAAGGAUCAUCUUUGUAGGCAACUCUUUUGUAGGCAACUCUGCUCCGCAGAGUUGGUUACUACUCAUGCACCUGUGAACGCAGCGCAGCUGCACAUUUGCGUAGCUUGUGGAUAUUAUCAUAAAUAGAAUGAACCGAAUACAACCUUUAGCAAUGGAUCUCUUGGCUUCU